UCCAUGAUUUGGCUGAAAUGAAGACUUGUAGCAUGUAUUUCUUCGUCUGUGCUUUACUUUGUUCGGUUGUUGUUUAUUCACAUGAAAUAAAGGAUGCAACUUUAGUUGGCAAUAUUUUCAGAGAAAUUCAGGAUUUAAAAUCAAGACAGGUUACCUGCGACGAAAAAGUGUCUAAGUUGGAAUCCGUCUUAACGGAUCUUCAGCAGGAAGUAUCCUCAUUGCGAUAUAGCCUGAAUUCAAUGUGAGAGAACAGCGCUGUUCAACAUAAUGACCAUGAAGGCAACCAAACGUACUUCAACAGUUCCCUUCGAAAUAGAAGACAAGCAAUCAGCGGUCAAGUUGCGUUUACAGCUGGUGUAUCCGUCGGAAACUUUACGCAUGUUGGUUACACAGUCAUCUUUGACAGGGCAUUUUCCAACAUUGGGAGCGCCUACAGUACCAAGUCUGGCAUCUUCCAUGCACCGUUAAAGGGAACCUAUGUUUUUACCCUAACUAUGAUGGUGGUCAGCCGUCACAGUGAAUAUCUGGAAAUUGUUGUCGACGGAAAUGCUAUCAAUGGCAUUUUUGCAGAUGCAUCUUCGGUUGAUGACUAUAUAUCUACAACAAAACAAUGGAUCCUUGAUCUAAGCUUCGGCUCCCGAGUUUGGAUUCGGACCAAUUCGUUUGAAAACCUCGGUAAAUUACAUGGAGCAAUGCAUACACUCUUUAGUGGCUUUCUCUUAUUUUAAAUGGAGUAAUGCCGUUUUCUACAUUAAAACAGUUAUUAGAAUUUUAAUUUCUCCUUUUCUAUGUUUUAUUUCUAUGGUACUUUACGAUUUCCAUGUUUUGAGUAUUAGUUGAACGAGGUGAAAAAUUCAAAUACUUAAAAGUUAUUUCCACGGCGAAAUGAAAUAACGUACUAAACGCCUUCCUGAGUUAAUCUUCUUUAUGCUGAUCUUUAAGAAUUAUUCAGUGUUGCACUCU